UACGUAGGGUGCAAGCGUUAUCCGGAAUUAUUGGGCGUAAAGAGCUCGUAGGCGGUUGUCGCGUCUGCCGUGAAAGUCCGGGGCUCAACUCCGGAUCUGCGGUGGGUACGGGCAGACGUAGAGUACUGCAGGGGAGACUGGAAUUCCUGGUGUAGCGGUGGAAUGCGCGAGAUAUCAGGAGGAACACCGGUGGCGAAGGCGG
rnacentral:rRNA from 1 species